rnacentral:rRNA from 1 species
GAGUCGAUCCUAAGCCAACUGUGAAAGCAGUGACAUCCCGACAAAGGGGCGUAUUACGUGUACUGCACUCGCACCCCUGCACGCACACUGAGGCAAAAAGGCAAAGGCAAAGGCAGUCUGGAAAGAACCCGCGCGCGCGGACACUGAUCACUUUUAAGUGUAGGUCUCGUUAGCGCGCGGGAGGCACACGAUGUGUAUCUCUGGUUACGCUCAAAAGCGUUGCUCUUAACGGAAAGAGCGUGUGUGUUGCAGGUGCGCGCGAGUUGCCCUUGCAUCAUGUCCCCUGCGUCUGGUUCUAUGUCUGGCGAAAGGGAAUGGGGACUUUGUUCCUUGACCGGUCCCGGCACCCUCGAUAGGCUUUGCCAAUCAAUGGUCCAUGCAAAUGGAACCAGGCCACAGCCGCCGGCAGUCGCC